AGAGUUUGAUGAUGGCUCUAACUGAACACUGUCCAAGUACUUGACACAUGCUAAUCGAACGACUAAUUAGUUUAAUCUAAAAAUUAAAUUAAGUAGUAGUGGUGUACAGGUGAGUAAAAGAUAAAUUGGCUACCUUAAAGUAAGGGAAAAAAUCCCUUAUAACCAAAGGUUAAUGUAAUAUCCGCUUUAAGAUGAAAAUUUUUAUCUCGGUGAGUAGUAGGAAAGGUAAUGACUUUUCUAGCAAUAAACCGUAGUCGUAACUGGAAAGUUGAUCGACCACAUUGGGUCUGAAAAAAACCCAAUGCUUUUAUGUACAGCAGUGAGGAAUAUUGGUCAAUGGCCGAAAGGCUGAACCAGUAACUUGGAAGAAUGUAAUUGUAUAUUUUUAUAUUUGUAUUACAAUAGCGAUUCAUUCGCAUAAAAUUCUAAAUAGAUUUAAUAUAAUGACAUAAUCUAUUUAUAAGUCUUGGCCAAACUACGUGCCAGCAGUCGCGGUAAUACGUAGGAGGCUAGUGUUAGUUAUCUUUAUUGGGUUUAAAGGGUAAGUAGACGGUAAAUUAAACUCUAAAAGAGUACUUUUUUACUAGAGUUAUAUGAGAGAAGGAAGAAUUCCUGGAGUAGAGAUAGAAUACGUUAAUACCAGGAGGACUGUCAACGGCGAAGGCGUCCUUCUAUGUAAUAACUGACGUUGAGAGACGAAGGCUUGGGUAGCAAAUAGGAUUAGAUACCCUAGUAGUCCAAGCAGACAAUGAUGAAUGUCAUGCAUUAGAUAAAUAUUUAAUGCAUAAACGAAAGUGUAAGCAUUCCACCUCAAGAGUACUAUGGCAACAUAUAAACUGAAAUCAUUAGACCGUUUCUAAAACCAGUAGUGAAGUAUGUUAUUUAAUUCGAUAAUCCGCGAAAAACCUUACCACAGCUUGCAUAUCAUAGUUCAAUAUUGAAGUUUUAAAAAUAUUUUAUAUUUUUAUUUUUGAUAUUUACAUAAUACUAUGAUACAAGCGCUGCAUGGCUGUCUUUAGUUAAUGUCGUGAGAUCUGGUUAAUUCCUUUAAUUAACGAAAACCCUCACUUUAUUUAUUUAUAUAAAGUGGUUCGCUAUUACAUCGGAUCAGAUAAAAGGGAUUAAGACAAGUCAUUAUGGCCUAAAUGCUGUGGGCUAUAGACGUGCCACAUUCGCCUUUACAAUAGGAUGCGAAAUUGAAAAAUGGAACCUAUCCCUAAAAAAGGACACUUAAUUGUGAAUAGAAGUCUGUAACUUGACUGAUUGAAAAAGGAAUUACUAGUAAUCGUGUAUCACCAACGUCACGGUGAAUUUUAUCUUAGUUAGGUACUAACCACUCGUCAGGCGCUGAAAAAAGUAGAUGCAGUAAGUUUGAUUUUUUCUGUGUAAAUUUAUAUAUAAUUAAGAUAUAUAAGUAUACAGGAUUGUUUUCGUAUGCAAAACUUUGAUUGGUGUUAAGUCGAAAUAUGGUUCGUGUAAUGGAAAUUGCACGGG
rnacentral:rRNA from 1 species